CCCACUCAGCAAUAAGAGAGAAUGAGCUACUCACACACAACAACAUGGAGGAAUCUUCACCGUGUGGCAUCCCAAGUGGAAGACGCCAGGCGCAAGGGGCUCCACUCUGUGUGCUUCCACUUGCAUGACGUUAUGGAAGAAGCAAAACUAUAGGGCCAGAGACCAGACCAGCGGUCACCUGGGCUCACAAAACCCAGUUGCUGGACCAUCCUCUCAAGAUGGUUCAUCCUCAUCGUCCGGAUCUCAAAGUCCAGAGUGAGACAGAGCUUGCAAAGCCUUUCGGCAUAGACGCUUCCCUCACUACUCCAUCCCCCCAAGUACCAGCCACACACGGCUGUGUGUGCAGCAGGCUUUCUGAAGGGUCACCCCAAUCACACGUCCAGAUGACCACAUCCCCAGCUAAUACCUCGAACACCCCGCGUGACACAGCCUGAGCUAGAGCACAAGCUACACCACCCAAAUUGCGGAUGCACAGAAUCUACGAGGCGAUAAAUAUUUGGAACAGGAUCUGAAUGCAAACGUGUCUUGGAGAAGAAAACUGAUGCUGCUCACCUCCAAGACAAGCAGGACCAGGAAUGUCAGAACCAACCACAGCUGGGACGUGGAAUGCCACAUUACUCUUGAUCAGAGAGGCUCUUUGCACCCAGAUUCAGAGCUUCACAGCUCAGGGCUUCACGCUGAGAUUCUACAGCCCUGGGCAUCAGAUUGCUCAGCUAUAGAUUAAGUGCUGACUCCUUGAUACAAUAAAAAGGCAGAGAUGCAUGUGUUCUGUAUUAAGGUCAAAGUUGUUAAAUGUCUUCAUCCUUUUCAAAGCAUCGGCAGGU